AGCAGCCGCCGCGGUAAUACGUAGGGUGCGAGCGUUAAUCGGAAUUGCUGGGCGUAAAGCGUGCGCAGGCGGUUCGUUAAGACAGAUGUGAAAUCCCCGGGCUUAACCUGGGAACUGCAUUUGUGACUGGCAAGCUAGAGUAUGGCAGAGGGGGGUGGAAUUCCGCGUGUAGCAGUGAAAUGCGUAGAUAUGCGGAGGAACACCGAUGGCGAAGGCAGCCCCCUGGGCCAAUACUGACGCUCAUGCACGAAAGCGUGGGGAGCAAACAGGAUUAGAUACCCCCGUAGUCCCUGUCUCUUAUAC
rnacentral:rRNA from 1 species